rnacentral:rRNA from 1 species
CGGAGGGGGGGUGGUGACUAUACAUGCAAGUCGUACGCUUCUUUUUCCACCGGAGCUUGCUCCACCGGAAAAAGAAGAGUGGCGAACGGGUGAGUAACACGUGGGUAACCUGCCCAUCAGAAGGGGAUAACACUUGGAAACAGGUGCUAAUACCGUAUAACAAUCGAAACCGCAUGGUUUUGAUUUGAAAGGCGCUUUCGGGUGUCGCUGAUGGAUGGACCCGCGGUGCAUUAGCUAGUUGGUGAGGUAACGGCUCACCAAGGCCACGAUGCAUAGCCGACCUGAGAGGGUGAUCGGCCACAUUGGGACUGAGACACGGCCCAAACUCCUACGGGAGGCAGCAGUAGGGAAUCUUCGGCAAUGGACGAAAGUCUGACCGAGCAACGCCGCGUGAGUGAAGAAGGUUUUCGGAUCGUAAAACUCUGUUGUUAGAGAAGAACAAGGAUGAGAGUAACUGUUCAUCCCUUGACGGUAUCUAACCAGAAAGCCACGGCUAACUACGUGCCAGCAGCCGCGGUAAUACGUAGGUGGCAAGCGUUGUCCGGAUUUAUUGGGCGUAAAGCGAGCGCAGGCGGUUUCUUAAGUCUGAUGUGAAAGCCCCCGGCUCAACCGGGGAGGGUCAUUGGAAACUGGGAGACUUGAGUGCAGAAGAGGAGAGUGGAAUUCCAUGUGUAGCGGUGAAAUGCGUAGAUAUAUGGAGGAACACCAGUGGCGAAGGCGGCUCUCUGGUCUGUAACUGACGCUGAGGCUCGAAAGCGUGGGGAGCAAACAGGAUUAGAUACCCUGGUAGUCCACGCCGUAAACGAUGAGUGCUAAGUGUUGGAGGGUUUCCGCCCUUCAGUGCUGCAGCUAACGCAUUAAGCACUCCGCCUGGGGAGUACGACCGCAAGGUUGAAACUCAAAGGAAUUGACGGGGGCCCGCACAAGCGGUGGAGCAUGUGGUUUAAUUC